rnacentral:rRNA from 1 species
CCUACGGGAGGCUGCAGUGGGGAAUAUUGGACAAUGGGGGCAACCCUGAUCCAGCCAUGCCGCGUGUGUGAAGAAGGCCCUCGGGUUGUAAAGCACUUUCAGUGAGGAAGAACGCCUGGUGGUUAAUACCCAUCAGGAAAGACAUCACUCACAGAAGAAGCACCGGCUAACUCCGUGCCAGCAGCCGCGGUAAUACGGAGGGUGCGAGCGUUAAUCGGAAUUACUGGGCGUAAAGCGCGCGUAGGUGGCUUGAUAAGCCGGUUGUGAAAGCCCCGGGCUCAACCUGGGAACGGCAUCCGGAACUGUCAAGCUAGAGUGCAGGAGAGGAAGGUAGAAUUCCCGGUGUAGCAGUGAAAUGCGUAGAGAUCGGGAGGAAUACCAGUGGCGAAGGCGGCCUUCUGGACUGACACUGACACUGAGGUGCGAAAGCGUGGGUAGCAAACAGGAUUAGAUACCCGAGUAGUC